rnacentral:rRNA from 1 species
UGGGGAAUAUUGGACAAUGGGCGCAAGCCUGAUCCAGCAAUGCCGCGUGUGUGAAGAAGGCCUUCGGGUUGUAAAGCACUUUUAUCAGGAGCGAAACGCUGUCGGCUAAUACCCGGCGGAACUGACGGUACCUGAGGAAUAAGCACCGGCUAACUUCGUGCCAGCAGCCGCGGUAAUACGAAGGGUGCAAGCGUUAAUCGGAAUUACUGGGCGUAAAGCGUGCGUAGGCGGUUUCUUAAGUCUGCUGUGAAAUCCCCGGGCUCAACCUGGGAAUGGCAGUGGAUACUGGGAGGCUAGAGUGUGUCAGAGGGUGGUGGAAUUCCCGGUGUAGCGGUGAAAUGCGUAGAGAUCGGGAGGAACAUCAGUGGCGAAGGCGGCCACCUGGGACAACACUGACGCUGAGGCACGAAAGCGUGGGGAGCAAACAGGAUUAGAUACCCUGGUAGUCCACGCCCUAAACGAUGCGAACUGGAUGUUGGUCUCAACUCGGAGAUCAGUGUCGAAGCUAACGCGUUAAGUUCGCCGCCUGGGGAGUACGGUCGCAAGACUGAACUCAAAGGAAUUGACGGGGUCAUAGCUGUUUCCU